UGAAAAACCAAAAUAACUAAAAAUAAAGUAGUUUUUCUAUAAUAAUAAAAUUGAAAAAUAAAUUUGGCUGAUUUGAAAGUAAAUGCAUAAUAAAGUGUUUGUUAGAUUUUUGGUCCAUUUCAUUUUUGUAAUAGUUGCUUAUAUCAUAACGACCAGCGGUUUGCAAUGUUAUAAAUGCAGUGCUGAUAACGAUCAAAACUGUCUUAAUCACCAGAAAAUUAAAAACUGUUCACAAUAUGAAAAUAGUUGUAUUACAGAGUCUUAUGGCUACAAGGUUGAAGACAUCGAGACUACUUCAUUUGAAAUUUUUUUUAAAAAAAAUUGUCAUAACAAUCGAAUCGAAAGUUGUUUAAAAAGACGCAGAAAUUAUGAAAAUUUAGGUAUUAAAAAUUCAAAGGUUGCGUGUUGUAAUUCAAACCUGUGCAAUGAAGCAGUAAAAGAAGAGAUAUUUUUAAAGGUGUACAAAAACGGGUCGAUGUUAUUGUCGCCAACGUCAGCAAUAUUUUAUUUAACUGUAUUUUUUUAUAUUAACAUACAUUGAUAAUUUUAAA